GUAGGUCACUAAGCGCUGUCAUAUUGCUAAAGAACUGCUUUGUUGGUUUUACACCUGUGAGUAACAGUACUCGGGUGGCACUAGUCAUUCAUGUGUAGGUACACAGGGACCAUUUGUAUACAUUAUGCUCAUGUAAAGCAGUUACAAAGUGUAUGUCACUAAUCACUGUGAUAUUUGUUGAAGAAUUGCUGUGAUGGUUUUACACAUGUGAAUAAUAGUGGUCAGGACACAGUACUUGCGAUGUAUAGUUGAAUUUAUACAGUGCCAAGACAUGGGCUGUAUACGUACCAAAAGAAAUGUAUAUCAUUAUAUUGUUGUGAUUAUUACUGUUUGGAUUUUAUUAAACUCUAAUAACAUUUUUUUCUUUUAUAUAUUGAGGUAUGGCAAUUUGUCAUGCAACCAAACUGAGGACCUGAACUUGUGCAUACAAAUAAACAGCUAAUUUAAGAGCA
rnacentral:lncRNA from 1 species